rnacentral:rRNA from 1 species
GACGAACGCUGGCGGCGUGCUUAACACAUGCAAGUCGAACGGAAAGGCCCUGCUUUUGUGGGGUGCUCGAGUGGCGAACGGGUGAGUAACACGUGAGUAACCUGCCCUUGACUUUGGGAUAACUUCAGGAAACUGGGGCUAAUACCGGAUAGGAGCUCCUGCUGCAUGGUGGGGGUUGGAAAGUUUCGGCGGUUGGGGAUGGACUCGCGGCUUAUCAGCUUGUUGGUGGGGUAGUGGCUUACCAAGGCUUUGACGGGUAGCCGGCCUGGGAGGGUGGCCGGCCACAUUGGGACUGAGAUACGGCCCAGACUCCUACGGGAGGCAGCAGUGGGGAAUAUUGCACAAUGGGCGGAAGCCUGAUGCAGCAACGCCGCGUGCGGGAUGACGGCCUUCGGGUUGUAAACCGCUUUCGCCUGUGACGAAGCGUGAGUGACGGUAAUGGGUAAAGAAGCACCGGCUAACUACGUG